GAAAAAGGCGAAAAGAUCAAAUUUUGAGAAAAGCUAUGAGUUCUUCUUUGUUCUGAAUUCAUCUUUAAGCCCUAAGGAGAACAACCUUCUUGUAGAAAAUGACCACACCAUUGAUAGCAGGACUGAGUGUUGCUGCUGUUGCAUUGGCCGGAAGGUAUAGCAUCCAGGCUUGGCAAGCAUUCAAGGCCAGACCACCCACUGCGAGAAUGCGAAAAUUUUAUGAAGGAGGUUUUCAGCCUAAAAUGACGAGGAGGGAAGCAGCUCUUAUUCUUGGAGUCAGGGAAAGCACUCCAGCAGAUAAAGUGAGGGAGGCACAUAGGAAGGUGAUGGUAGCCAACCAUCCAGAUGCAGGAGGCAGUCACUACCUUGCUUCAAAAAUUAAUGAAGCGAAAGACAUAAUGCUUGGGAAGUCUAAGAACAGCGGUUCUGCAUUUUAAUCUCAAACGAGAAUCCCUUUGGUGCUUUAGAAGUUACAAAUUACAUGGUAAUCGGAGGCGGAUCAUGCUUUCUGGCAUUAUAGACAACUUUAAAGUGAAGUAGAUUGAUUCUUUUUGACCAAAAGAUGUAUGUUAGUUGGAAAAGGCAACAUUUUGAUAGUUGUAUGAGUUCACUGAAUGUGAAGUUCCAGACAGAG
rnacentral:misc_RNA from 1 species